AGCAGAGAUGCUUUGGUGCCUUCGGGAACUCUGAGACAGGUGCUGCAUGGCUGUCGUCAGCUCGUGUUGUGAAAUGUUGGGUUAAGUCCCGCAACGAGCGCAACCCUUAUCCUUUGUUGCCAGCGGCUCGGCCGGGAACUCAAAGGAGACUGCCGGUGAUAAACCGGAGGAAGGUGGGGAUGACGUCAAGUCAUCAUGGCCCUUACGGCCAGGGCUACACACGUGCUACAAUGGCGCAUACAAAGAGAAGCGACCUCGCGAGAGCAAGCGGACCUCACAAAGUGCGUCGUAGUCCGGAUUGGAGUCUGCAACUCGACUCCAUGAAGUCGGAAUCGCUAGUAAUCGUAGAUCAGAAUGCUACGGUGAAUACGUUCCCGGGCCUUGUACACACCGCCCGUCACACCAUGGGAGUGGGUUGCAAAAGAAGUAGGUAGCUUAACCUUCGGGAGGGCGCUUACCACUUUGUGAUUCAUGACUGGGGUGAAGUCGUAACAAGGUAGGCGUAGCGAG
rnacentral:rRNA from 1 species